ensembl:lncRNA
CUUCCAAGCCUAUAUAUAUAUAUAUAUAUACACACACACAUUUGCAAUGAACCUAAUCCCCAAUCCUGCACAUCUCAACCCCAUGAUAACAGUAACUUAUUAUUAAUAUGAAAACAUUUGAAUAUAUGAGUUUUAUGAGAAUAUAUGAGAAAUUUAAGUUCAAAUAUGGUGGAGGCAUUGUAAUGCUCUGAAUGUUGAAUUCCUCAAGACUUAGACUCCAAACUGGAAUGCUGGACAACUCGAUUAUUAAUUAAAUGACUUUUAAUGAUGUAGUCGUCUAGCUUGAAUGACGAAUCAAAAGUUGCAUAAGCACGACUGUUCAUUUUACAGGAAGGUAGAAUGAGCAAUUAUCGCACUUAAUCUAGUCAUUUGACGUGACCACAUAUGACAGACUGUAGAUGAAUGAAUAUUAAUGCAAUUAUACGGCAUGAAAUGAGAAAGGAAUCCAACACAACUGGGGGGUGCGGUUUUAGGAAACUAAUCCGUGGGGAUAACCCAGAGUUGCCAUUACCACCUGGAAGUGGAUUAUAUUCCUAUAACAGCAAACUCUUUAUUUCCUCUUCUAUCAUUAAUCAGUCACUUCUCAAGGCUAACCAUUUUUUAUUUAUUAAAGACUGACACAUUAUAUAUUACAUUUGGUUCAUGAGGAAACCAUGACGUGUCCUGAGAACCCUUUUAUUAUUUUUAUAUUUCCGAUUCAUUAGUUUUUUUUUCCUAUUAAUUAUUAUUUUUUAUUUUUUUGUGCCUAAAAUGAUAAAUAAAAGGGAGCACGGUGGGUUAGUGGUUGGCACGUUCGCCUCACACCUCCAGGGUCGGGGGUUCGAUUCCCACCGUGAUCCUGUGUGUGUGUGUGGAGUUUGCAUGUUCUCCCUGUGCUGCGGGGGUUUCCUCCGGGUACUCCGGUUUCCUCCCCCAGUCCAAAGACAUGCAUGGUAGGCUGAUUGGCGUGUCUAAAGUGUCCGUAGUGUAUGAAUGUGUAUGUGACUGUCCAGGGUGUACCCCGCCUUGUGCCCCGAUACUCCCUGGGAUAGACUCCAGGUUCCCCCGUGACCCUGAAAAGGAUAUAGAAGAUGGAUGGAUGAUA